CGUUAAGUGGCUCACAUUCUUUUCGUUCGAAACCGUCGUAGAGUGCAGACGCGCAUAUAAUCACGUUCCGUGGGAAAAGUUUUUUUUGGUGCGGGCAAAGGCGGCAAGUGCUGAGUCGAGUUGGUUAUUCAAAAAUUAUAUAAAAAAAAUCCUCUGCGAAACGACGAGUGCGUACGGAAUAAAAGAGCGAAAAGAGACAGCCUAAUUGGAGUUCCGUUGCUGGCUGCUGAACGCCGGCGCAACUAUUUUUUUUUUUUUUCUUUUCUGUGUUAAUCCCACUGGAAGUUGGCAGGCAGUUCGGUGGCAGCCCACACCAAGUACCUCAGGAGACCUCCAUGCGGAGGCGAGGAGGUUAGGAUCGCCCCGAGUCCCCUUCAGUAAAUUGUGAGAAAACAAGAUGGCCGCUUCGUUAUUCUAUCUAACCUAAAAGGUGGCAGAAAUCCAAUCUGUUCUGCCGGAAGACGAGCCGUACGCAUGGGCGUAGAAUUCUGAAGUUGCGGAGCCAUGAGAGCCUGAGGCUGUUGAGCCGAAAUCAUCGUUGGAAUAUUUUUGAAAAGUUUAUACCAUUUUUCCUUAUUUUUGCCAAGCUUGCGGCACUUUCCCCUUCAGCUGGUAUUCUCUUAACC